GAUGAAGAACGCAGCGAAAUGCGAUAAGUAAUGUGAAUUGCAGAAUUCAGUGAAUCAUCGAAUCUUUGAACGCACCUUGCGCCCUUUGGCCAUUCCGAAGGGCAUGCCUGUUUGAGUAUCAUGAACACCUCAACUCUUCAUGGUUUUCCGUGAUGAGCUUGGACUUUGGGGGUCUUGCUGGCCUAUGGUCAGCUCCUCUAAAAUAAAUCAGCUUGCCAGUGUUUGGUGGGUAUCACAGGUGUGAUAACUAUCUACGCUUGUGGUUUUCCACCAGGUAACCUUCAGCAGUGGAGGUUCGCUGGAGCUCACAGAUGUGUCUCUCCUCAGUGAGGACAGCUCUUUGAAUGUUUGAUCUCAAAUCAGGUAGGACUACCCGCUGAACUUAAGCAUAUCUAAGCGGAGGA
rnacentral:misc_RNA from 1 species